rnacentral:rRNA from 1 species
UGCCAGCCGCCGCGGUAAUACGGAGGGGGUUAGCGUUGUUCGGAAUUACUGGGCGUAAAGCGCACGUAGGCGGAUUAGUAAGUUAGGGGUGAAAUCCCGGGGCUCAACCCCGGAAGUGCACUUGAAACUGGAAGUCUGGAGUUCAGGAGAGGUUAGCGGAAUACCGAGUGUAGAGGUGAAAUUCGUAGAUAUUCGGUGGAACACCAGUGGCGAAGGCGGCUAACUGGACUGAUACUGACGCUGAGGUGCGAAAGUGUGGGGAGCAAACAGGAUUAGAUA